UGAGAGAUAACACGUGGCAAACUAGGGGGGACUAGUCAUGUACUUUGAGAUAAGUACCUGAGACAGCUCUGAGAAUGAUUGUUCAGGCCUAUUAAUUGCUAUUAAUCUCUGUCUUGUAACUAUUUGCUCAAGAGGCAACGAGUGGCACCCGAACAGGGACCUGAAAAAAAAGGUACGAGGGGAGCGGCUCUCUUGGGACUUGGGAGAAAAUAGAAAAAAAGAAAAAAGAAAUACCUUGGCGGCUCAACGCUGUGGAAACAAGUAGAUUUCUCUGAUCAGACCAAGUGGUUAAUAAAAGACAUGAGCACAAUAAACCUUUGAUAAACCUGUCUGGAUUCCAGAGAAAAAUGUUCGAGCCUGUUCACUACUCACCACCCAGAUGAAGGAAUUGAACCUGCAGCAGAAACGGAAGCAAACUAUGAAGAGAAAGAAAAGACUUACAAUGAUUCCCCUGCUCUCUACCCAGCCGUCAUAUGGACGUUGUGACCAGCAUUGGACUUAUUUUCCUUUAAAGCUUGUAUAAAACCCCACAAGCAUUUAUGAUAGCUUCCUCCUUCUCCAAUAGUUUAGAACCUGGAUUUGUGAACUUGACACAAUCCAGUACUUUAAAAUGGAAUGUAACCUGUCUUAAUUGUAUUAUCAAGCAAUGUAUUGAUCGAAAUGAUAAGAUUGUUCUAUUGGUUGAGCAACCAUCCUUUGCUGUUUUUUCCCACUAACCUUUCUCAUGAAUGGUUCCAAUCUUCUAGGGAACAUGCCCUUCAACUCAUCUCAUCAUCACUACACAGGUCAAAAAGAGUUGUUGGGCUUCUCAUUACUGGAUUAAUUUCUGUUGCUUCCUUAAUUAUUAUAUCCACCCUGUCUUCUAUUGCAUUGCAGUCAGAAAUACAAGAUGCACGAUUUGUAAAUGAGCUUGCAAAAAAUAUUAGCUUAGCCUUACGAGUUCAAGAAGCUAUUGAUAGGGAUUUAUCAUAUAAAGCUAGUCUGUUAGAGCAAUCUGUGCUAUAUAUAGGGGAUGAACUUGCAGAGACAGAGUUUAGGGCAAAAUUAAAAUGUGAUUAUCGCUUUGCUAUGCUCUGUGUCACACCAAUACCUUAUAACUCUAGCAUAGUAAUAUGGGAUGUGAUUAAGUAUCGUUUAGAGGGAAUUUGGCAUAAUAGUAACUUUUCUGCUGAUUUAUCCUUUUUGACUAAUGUUACUCAGGCAAUUUCUGACAGUCUAUUCCCAGGGAUUCAUCCUCAGAGUUUAGCACAAGAAAUCUUAGAAAAAUUGGGCUCGAUAAAUAUAUUCAAAAAUACCUCUGCUUUAUUACUUCAUCUUUUUACUUGGGGAAUUUUAUUAACUCUAGUUUGCCUUGUUCUUCGUUGUGCAGCUGCAUUGAUAAAGUCAUGGUUUAAAUCUCUAGGCACCAAUGUUCAUCAUCUCAAGCUUCAACAAAAACAAAAAGGGGGAGUUGUAGAGGGCCAACUCUGAUCAGUCCAGAAAGGGUUAAAGAAUUCAGGUUGGAAUUUAACUUCUGCCUGCUCUUACCCUCAAGGGCUCUUGUUAUCAGGAUGUUGGCUCACCACUCUCCCAUUCAUUAAGGGGCUCAUGGAGCUGCCCGACCUUGACACAAUAAAAGUCUGGCAUGAGGGAUAACACGUGGCAAACUAGGGGGGACUAGUCAUGUACUUUGAGAUAAGUACCUGAGACAGUUCUGAGAAUGAUUGUUCAGGCCUAAUAAUUGCUAUUAAUCUCUGUCUUGUAACUAUUUGCUUAAGGGGUAUGUAAUCUUUUCUCUUGUUGAUACUUUUAUUGUAUGCUCCUUUGAUGUAUGUCCUGAAAGCAUUUUUUUACUGAGCUCUGAACCUUGAAAGUUAUCAGUAACAGUCUCAGGAUAUGUUUUAGUUUUCCCACACAAAGGAUCCUUUGAAGCUCCAAACUUUUUCCUAUAUAUGCUGUGACCCUCAGAUGAAUAAACGGCUCAGUCUUCACUGACCCACCUGGACCACAUUUCUUCAUUUCACCUGUCCUAUCAGGUGUGACUCUUUGUUGCAGGCAACACCUACUAGACAUCUAGUUCAAAAUGUAUAAAGUACAGUUGUAUACAAUGAUACGAGCCUGGAGCUCAGGAGAGAUACUAGGUGUAUGGAUCUAGGAAUCUUCUGAAUAGGCAUGAUAAUUGAAUCCAUGGGAGCUGAUGAGAUCACCAAAUAAUAUUGUAUAGAGGGAGAAGAGAAGAGGGCCCAUCUGACCUUGCAGGAUGCCUAUGGGUAGUAGGUGCAACAUGGAUGAAGAAUUAGCAGAGGAGAUUGAGAAGAAGCGGAAAGAUAGGUGUAGAACUAGGAGGCAGUAGCAUUACAAAAACCUAAAGAGGAGAGAAUAUUCAGAAAAUGAUGGAUAGUGUCAAAUGAUACAGAGAGAUCAGGAAAAAUGAGAAUUGAGAAAAAGCAAUUAGAUUUGACAAUUAAGAGAUCAUUGGUAACAACAUUUCUGGAGAACAGUGGUAUUAGGAAGAUGUGUUUUUGUGUGGAAGGACAGUUUGAAAUAAAAAUCUCUGCCUUUG